rnacentral:rRNA from 1 species
GACGAACGCUGGCGGCGUGCUUAACACAUGCAAGUCGAACGGAAAGACCCUGCUUUUGUGGGGUGCUCGAGUGGCGAACGGGUGAGUAACACGUGAGUAACCUGCCCUUGACUUUGGGAUAACUUCAGGAAACUGGGGCUAAUACCGGAUAGGAGCUCCUGCUGCAUGGUGGGGGUUGGAAAGUUUCGGCGGUUGGGGAUGGACUCGCGGCUUAUCAGCUUGUUGGUGGGGUAGUGGCUUACCAAGGCUUUGACGGGUAGCCGGCCUGAGAGGGUGACCGGCCACAUUGGGACUGAGAUACGGCCCAGACUCCUACGGGAGGCAGCAGUGGGGAAUAUUGCACAAGGGGCGGAAGCCUGAUGCAGCAACGCCGCGUGCGGGAUGACGGCCUUCGGGUUGUAAACCGCUUUCGCCUGUGACGAAGCGUGAGUGACGGUAAUGGGUAAAGAAGCACCGGCUAACUACGUG